AACAACUGAUGAGUGAAGACAGUCAGAGGCCAGGAAGUCACAAGGACCAGGACCACUUCUGCAGCGUUUUGUUUGUUGUUUUAGAAUUUUAUCUAAACAAGGAAGGUGUCUGGACAACUUUGUGCCCUUUGUCUUCAAGAACUGAGAACUGCAGCUGCUUUCCUACAUGUGCCAAGCUUUUCCAGAAAGGCACCAGAGGUGUUUCCAGGGCUCAGCCAUGCUUCUAGUCCUCAUCUCAUUCCUGGGGAUACAUUUUUUCCUGGGAGAGGUCCAAGCACAGUCAGUUACCCAGCCUGAUGCCCAUGUCACUGUCUUCGAAGGAGACUCAGUGGAGCUCAGAUGCAACUAUUCCUACAGUGGAACUCCUUACCUCUUCUGGUACAAGCAGAACCAUGACCAAGGCCUCCAACUUCUCCUCAGGUACUUUUCAGGAGAUCCUGUGGUUCAUGGAGUAAAUGGUUUUGAGGCUGAGUUUCAGAAGAGUAAAUCUUCCUUCCACUUGAAGAAGACCUCUGUGCACCUGAGCGAUUCAGCUGUGUACUUCUGUGUUGUGAGUGCACAGUGUCUGAGGCUGCAGGGGGAGCUGAACACAAACCUGUGAGAUGCUGGGGAGGACUGUAGCUGGUUGACUUUAGAUCAUCCAUGCUCCUGUAAG